rnacentral:snRNA from 1 species
NUGGCAGCACAUAUACUAAAAUUGGAAUGAUACAGAGAAGAUUAGCAUGGACCCUGAGCAAGGAUGACACGCAAAUUCAUGAAGCGUUCCAUAUUUUU